rnacentral:rRNA from 1 species
GUAAUGUCUGGGAAACUGCCCGAUGGAGGGGGAUAACUACUGGAAACGGUAGCUAAUACCGCAUAACGUCUUCGGACCAAAGUGGGGGACCUUCGGGCCUCACACCAUCGGAUGUGCCCAGAUGGGAUUAGCUAGUAGGUGGGGUAACGGCUCACCUAGGCGACGAUCCCUAGCUGGUCUGAGAGGAUGACCAGCCACACUGGAACUGAGACACGGUCCAGACUCCUACGGGAGGCAGCAGUGGGGAAUAUUGCACAAUGGGCGCAAGCCUGAUGCAGCCAUGCCGCGUGUAUGAAGAAGGCCUUCGGGUUGUAAAGUACUUUCAGUGGGGAGGAAGGCGAUGAAGUUAAUAGCUUCGUCGAUUGACGUUACCCGCAGAAGAAGCACCGGCUAACUCCGUGCCAGCAGCCGCGGUAAUACGGAGGGUGCAAGCGUUAAUCGGAAUUACUGGGCGUAAAGCGCACGCAGGCGGUCUGUCAAGUCGGAUGUGAAAUCCCCGGGCUCAACCUGGGAACUGCAUUCGAAACUGGCAGGCUAGAGUCUUGUAGAGGGGGGUAGAAUUCCAGGUGUAGCGGUGAAAUGCGUAGAGAUCUGGAGGAAUACCGGUGGCGAAAGCGGCCCCCUGGACAAAGACUGACGCUCAGUGCGAAAGCGUGGGGAGCAAACAGGAU